rnacentral:rRNA from 1 species
GAUGAUCAGUCACACUGGAACUGAGACACGGUCCAGACUCCUACGGGAGACAGCAGUGGGGAAUAUUGCACAAUGGACGAAAGUCUGAUGCAGCAACGCCGCGUGGAGGAUGACACAUUUCGGUGCGUAAACUCCUUUUAUAUAGGAAGAUAAUGACGGUACUAUAUGAAUAAGCACCGGCUAACUCCGUGCCAGCAGCCGCGGUAAUACGGAGGGUGCAAGCGUUACUCGGAAUUACUGGGCGUAAAGAGCGUGUAGGCGGGUAAAUAAGUUGGAAGUGAAAUCCUAUGGCUCAACCAUAGAACUGCUUCCAAAACUGUUAACCUAGAAUGUGGGAGAGGUAGAUGGAAUUUCUGGUGUAGGGGUAAAAUCCGUAGAUAUCAGAAGGAAUACCGAUUGCGAAGGCGAUCUACUGGAACACUAUUGACGCUGAGACGCGAAAGCGUGGGGAGCAAACAGGAUUAGAUACCCUGGUAGUCCACGCCCUAAACGAUGUACACUAGUUGUUGUGAGGCUAGACCUUGCAGUAAUGCAGUUAACACAUUAAGUGUACCGCCUGGGGAGUACGGUCGCAAGAUUAAAACUCAAAGGAAUAGACGGGGACCCGCACAAGCGGUGGAGCAUGUGGUUUAAUUCGACAUACGCGAAGAGCCUUACCUGGUCUUGACAUAGAAAGAACUUUCCAGAGAUGGAUUGGUGCCUGCUUGCAGGGGCUUUCAUACAGGUGCUGCACGGCUGUCGUCAGCUCGUGUCGUGAGAUGUUGGGUUAAGUCCCGCAACGAGCGCAACCCUCGUCGUUAGUUGCUAACAGUUCGGCUGAGAACUCUAACGAGACUGCCUACGCAAGUAGGAGGAAGGUGAGGACGACGUCAAGUCAUCAUGGCCCUUACGACCAGGGCUACACACGUGCUACAAUGGGGUAUACAAAGAGCAGCGAUACGGUGACGUGGAGCGAAUCUCAAAAAUGCCUCCCAGUUCGGAUAGUAGUCUGCAACUCGACUACUUGAAGUUGGAAUCGCUAGUAAUCGUAGAUCAGCUAUGCUACGGUGAAUACGUUCCCGGGUCUUGUACUCACCGCCCGUCACACCAUGGGAGUUGAAUUCAUUCGAAGCGGGGAUGCUAAAAUAGCUACCUUCCACAGUGGAUUUAGCGACUGGGGUGAAGUCGGAACAAGGUAACCGUAGGAGAACCUGCGGUUG